UUAAUGUUGAUCUUGUUAUCUUCAGGAACUACAUAGCUGCAAAAUUUGUGUAAUCUAUGCUAAUUAUAGACCUGCUGGUGGGUUUCAUGGUGGUUUGGAUGGUCGCGAUGGCAGCAGCAAUUAUGGGUAUCUGAUGACUUUGAUGGGGAUUCUGACUGAAGCGUUCAUCGAUGAAAGACUGAAAUUCCAAGAUCAUGCUACUUGCUUUGCAAGUCUGUGCAUAGCCUUUGUGUUUGUGGG
rnacentral:lncRNA from 1 species